ACACAUGCAAGUCGAGGGGCAGCAUGAUUGAAGCUUGCUUCAAUUGAUGGCGACCGGCGCACGGGUGAGUAACGCGUAUCCAACCUUCCGUACACUCAGGGAUAGCCUUUCGAAAGAAAGAUUAAUACCUGAUGGUAUGAUGAGAUUGCAUGAUAGCAUCAUUAAAGAUUUAUCGGUGUACGAUGGGGAUGCGUUCCAUUAGGUAGUAGGCGGGGUAACGGCCCACCUAGCCUACGAUGGAUAGGGGUUCUGAGAGGAAGGUCCCCCACAUUGGAACUGAGACACGGUCCAAACUCCUACGGGAGGCAGCAGUGAGGAAUAUUGGUCAAUGGACGAGAGUCUGAACCAGCCAAGUAGCGUGAAGGAUGAAGGUCUUACGGAUUGUAAACUUCUUUUAUAAGGGAAUAAAACCUCCCACGUGUGGGAGCUUGUAUGUACCUUAUGAAUAAGCAUCGGCUAACUCCGUGCCAGCAGCCGCGGUAAUACGGAGGAUGCGAGCGUUAUCCGGAUUUAUUGGGUUUAAAGGGAGCGCAGACGGGUCGUUAAGUCAGCUGUGAAAGUUUGGGGCUCAACCUUAAAAUUGCAGUUGAUACUGGCGUCCUUGAGUGCGGUUGAGGUGUGCGGAAUUCGUGGUGUAGCGGUGAAAUGCUUAGAUAUCACGAAGAACUCCGAUUGCGAAGGCAGCACACUAAGCCGUAACUGACGUUCAUGCUCGAAAGUGUGGGUAUCAAACAGGAUUAGAUACCCUGGUAGUCCACACGGUAAACGAUGGAUACUCGCUGUUGGCGAUAUACGGUCAGCGGCUUAGCGAAAGCGUUAAGUAUCCCACCUGGGGAGUACGCCGGCAACGGUGAAACUCAAAGGAAUUGACGGGGGCCC
rnacentral:rRNA from 1 species